CCUACGGGUGGCAGCAGUGAGGAAUAUUGGUCAAUGGGCGCGAGCCUGAACCAGCCAAGCCGCGUGAAGGAUGACGGCCCUACGGGUUGUAAACUUCUUUUAUAAAGGAAUAAAGUGAGGCACGUGUGCCUUUCUGUAUGUACUUUAUGAAUAAGGAUCGGCUAACUCCGUGCCAGCAGCCGCGGUAAUACGGAGGAUCCGAGCGUUAUCCGGAUUUAUUGGGUUUAAAGGGAGCGUAGGUGGGUUGUUAAGUCAGUUGUGAAAGUCUGGGGCUCAACCGUAAAAUUGCAAUUGAUACUGGCAGUCUUGAGUGCAGGUGAGGUAGGCGGAAUUCGUGGUGUAGCGGUGAAAUGCUUAGAUAUCGCGAAGAACUCCGAUUGCGAAGGCAGCUUACUAGACUGCAACUGACGUUGAGGCACGAAAGUGUGGGUAUCAAACAGGAUUAGAUACCCUAGUAGUC
rnacentral:rRNA from 1 species